rnacentral:misc_RNA from 1 species
ACUUCCCUUUAACCAAAAAACGCCAUUUGCAUCGGUCGCCCAAGAAGAAAAAGAACAUUGGGCUCCGUGCAGAUGUUUUUGUACCAGUAUGCAGAUAAGUUGAUCACAACCAUGGACCAUGUGUACUCAGCUGCAGAGAUAGAACUGGGUCAAGAGGUAGAGACAGAGCUGCCCAACAGCACUGAGAGGUAAAUGUAACAGCUGCAGUUGAAAUUUUGGAAACUCAGCAUGCUCAGAUUGAUGAAUGCACAAGCACAGGUAGUCAAUCCAUGAAAUCCAUGAGUACACAGCACCAUAAAGGCCCAAUCAACCUGGGAUAUAUCUCUAACAGAAGGGCAAGGCAAAAGUGUUUUUCAAAAAGAUUGAAGACUUAAGUCUCGGGCAAUGGCUCUUCACAACCUAUGUGGGGCGAAGGUGGAGCUCAGGGUGGCUCUGCUACCAGUAGCCUUCAGACAUGUGAAGCUGCAGACAGGCGAGAGCAGCUUCGCAUGUCAAAGAGGAACAGUUGUAUCAUCCCCUCCUCCCCAGAUACACACACCAAAGAAGAAAAAGGUGAUCAACAAUAUGCCAGGGAAGAGGCCUGCAGAGAAGGCUAUUAAGCCAGUGACGGCUGUCAACAACAAAUGCUCAGUUUGCUCAAUUAUGUUUAAUUCUAAAGCAGACAAACUUUUCAGGAAAAGUUUGAUAUAGCGGAUGGACGUCAGCGGAGGUAACUAGAGUCGCGGAUCGGGACUAGGGCAUAACUUGCCAACAACAAAAAAAAGAGAAAAUUUUAGUGUGAUGUAAAAGUAAAACAGAAUGACAAGAGAGAAGUAAGUUCAGAAUUGAAGAGAUGCAGGUCUUUAUUCUACAUGGUGAAAGAGGAAUUUUUAGUGGAUUUUUGGAUUUACCAGUGAACCCUGUGAACUGUUAGUGAAGCAGAAUAGUUACAGAUCAUAAGAGAUGCUGGUCUUUGUUCAGCAUGGUGUAUAUGGAAAAUAUAGUGGAUGGCCAGUCUAGAAAACAUUUGAUGAAUCUAUAGGACAGUGAUGAUUGUACCAGUCGAUCAGUCUAUCCCAUUCUGUCCAGUCAACAAAUUUGCAGUGGCUACAUGGAUUCUCAUGUAACUUGGUAUUACUUUUCACAGUAACAAAGACAGAUUGCAAAAGUUUUUAGAGCAAUAUAUGAGGCAGAGCUGUCAGCAGUAUGCCAGAGACACGGCAAGAAGUACCCAUUGUUUUGCACUAAUUUUUUUCCAUAUGUAUGGCCAUGAACAGAUUUUCACAGAAAAAGUAAGAAAAUGCUGAUACCAGGGCACCGCUGGACAGACUGGAAGUUUUUAUGUAUAAAGUAGACACGCGGAGUGUUAAGACAACAUCAGACUGUUUUGCCAUACAAGAUGGAUGAGGAACCAUUGAUGUGUCAGGAACCAUCCCUGCUGGAGAGGAAAACACUCUAUUGAUAGGAUAGUUAGCUGGAAAUUCUGCAAGGGUCCAACUCUGCCAUGGAAGUUUGAAAGCUGCCAUGUGGGCUUUACUGUCAGACAAAUCACAUUCACCUCUGGCUGAGUGGAGGAGAAGAGAUGUAACCAGACGGCGCUUGCAAUUUUCGAUGUUUUCAAAGCACAUCGCAGUGAAGAUAUGCUGCAGAAACUAUAUGACCUAAACAUUAAAGUUGUGUUUGUCCCUGCAUGCUGUACGGAUGAGCUACAACCGAUGGAUCAGAUCCCGAACAAACAGUUCAAAGAUAUAAUCAAGUCUCAAUUUUCUGAUUAUUAUACAGAACAAGUUGCGAAGGGGUUACGUGAAAAUAAACCCGUCAACAGUGUUGACAUCUCCACAAAAACGGUGAAGCCUCUUCAUGCUAAAUGGAUCCAAAUGGCUUUUGAAAAAAUGAGCAAAACAGCAGAUCAGUUCGUUAAGGCAUUCAACAACUGUGGAAUUUUCGCUAAGUAAUAGUAUUCAUUAUGAUGCUCUGUUGGAUGAUUAUCGAAGCAAAUAAAGUUCGUAAUCAUUUUGUAACCCGUUCGUUAGUGUUUUAUUCAUUCCCUUGUGCAUAACAAUAAAGUCCGUGUAAUCUGGACUGCAGAGUGGAGGCCGCCAUGUUUAUUUUGAAAUGGACGUUCGUGAAAAUUUAUGCAUAUACAAGGUAAUAUUUCAGCGAGGAUAAAU